UCCCCAGAUACCAGCUUUUUGCAUGCUCUAAGUAUUUUCAAGCCACCGUAAUUGCAGGAAGAUAGCCUCAGUGAUACAAGUCUGCCCCACAAGCCUUGCUUUAUGGAGAAGUAUUGUGAAACUCCACCCCAACCUGUGAUCAUUUCAACAAGGUGCUCAGGAAAAACCAGCUAUCACCUUUCCUGAAACCGUGUCCACACCGUUACGAGUUGCAGCAGCAGGAGAUGGCACAGCCCUCCUGCUGGUCCUGCAGAACGCUCUGCCUUCAGGAGCCAACGAGAGUUUGAUGAUCACACACCAAGCCUUCAGGAGGUGACAGCAGAUUGCAAGCAGCUCCUGACUCCCCGGGCAGUCAACCAUCAUCGCUGGUUCUUCCAAAAGUUUUAAGAGCAGUGCACUCAGACAAUAUUGUGAAGCGGAGCUCCUGUGUGCCCAGUCCCUUGGAGGACAGACAGCAUCACACUUCUACACAGGCAAAUAGCUCUGCAUGGGUGCAACUUGCUUUCAUUUUGUCCUUGCUGGAGGUGGAACUGUUCCUAUUUUGUGUAUGUGUGCGUUGCAUGAGUAUUUGUCUCUGUCUGGGUGUCUUCCCUUUAAACACAGGACUGACGAAUUGCAUGUAGCACAGGCAGUUGCAUUGCAAGUGCUGCGCACUAGGAGAACGACUCUGUAGGAGUCCAAAUGUAGCAGCACAAUUCCCUUUAUGUCCUCUCCAAUAAAGCAUCUUCACACUCUAAUUAAACAGCAGUUUGACAUGUUUUUGCAGUUUUGAUUGCCUUUGAACUUUGGCAGUGUGAUAAACAAACGUUGCUUCCCUGCCUACCAGGAAGAUGCAGCUUCUUGAAGCAGUUUCUUCCCUUAGUUCUGAUACAGCAGAGCUCAGCAUCGUGUUUUCAUGGCAUCGUUUGUGAGCUAAUGCCAACAGCAGAGAAGGAUGGCAGCUGCCAUGGCGUGAUGUGAUGAACUGGAGAUGCUGGAGCGCUGUUUUUGCUUUGAUGGCCCCUUUUAGCUAGUUGAGAUUUCAAACACUAGUGCUCAGUAAACACUUAAUUCUUCACACCGCAGUAGGUUGGGGCUGGCGGCAGUGCACAGCCCGCUCCUUCUGAUCACUGCGAGGCGGUGCAGACACUUCACACGUCUGUGAGCUGCAGUAAUUAGAGGGGAGAAAGAAUGCAGGACGAACGUACUCAUCGUCACGUGGCAUAAAUAAUUA